GUGAGAGUUGCCUAUUAAAGCCAAAAAUAAAUAAAUAAAUAAAUAGAAAUAUUUAUUUUUUGGGAAGAACUAUCAGUUGCUGCUUUGAUUGAACUUCAAAGCUCUCCCAGGAUUCAUUUGAUUGAAUUAUUGAAAAACAAUUAUGUUUGUUUAGUUAGGCAUUUAGUUCUCGAAGAUAAGUUCUUGUAAUAACAAUACUGUAUAAGCUUCUAUCUAGGCAAUUUUGUUACUAAAAAGACAGAUAAUUUGUUGGAAUCCUGAUUCAGACUUCCAUCUUCUGAUUAAUGGAUUUAAUUCUGAGGUCCAUCUUUUUGGUAUCUUUCUUUCCUCCAGACAUUUUGGCAGGUAAUAGGCGAUGAAUUUACCUAACUUUAAUGAUAAGCAGUGGUACCAAUUGGCUUGAGCUUCUCUCUUCAGGCCAUGGGCUGGGUUCUGGCCUAAAACUGAAAUUUCGAAUAUAUUUCUGACAAAUAUGGGCUCAUGUUUUCCCUAUGCUUGAACUUCGGAUAUAUUCAGAUCUGAAAAGACACAGGAACCAAGGUUGCUUCAGACAUAUCUGGUCCUAGUUUGGCUAGUUCUGAGGAACUCACAUCCAGGGCAGGUUUCAGUAACUCUUGACAAUUGCCGAUUGAACUGCCAAGCUGAGAAAUUAAUCUUAUUCUGAUUUACCUAGGAUCAUAUUAUAUGUUAACAUGUUCACGAACUUGGUGAUCAUGGAAACAUGUGUACAUGUAUCCACUUUUCUCUUAUACAUGACUAUCUGUUUUUAGAAAUCUUUUAACAUGGACAGGUUGAAGGUGUGUUUUGUUGUAAACAGCAAUAGUCCUGUGCAUAUUAAACCUUUGAUUCUUGGGAGUGGGCAAUAUGACCCUGGCUAGUCAUUUAAAUGACAGCUAAGUGUCUCUUGCGCCUUGGUUCGGCCUUGUUACUGUGGUAUUUUCGCUUGAUUUAAUGCAUAUUCAUUGCUGAAUUUAAUCACACCCACUUCAUGAGUUGGGUAGCUGCCAGCUUUCAUCCUGGGCAACUAGUUUUCUUGACUUGGAAACAAAUGCUUCUGAGUUUCCCGACAGCUUUUUCAAUGAUGUGUUGCAUUUGACAAUCUUUUGUCAUGCCCACUUGCUGUUGUUCUUAAUUGGAGACACUCGAUGGUUUUGCCUUUUUCAUUGAGUUAUUUACAUAGUAAUUAGUAAUUUUAUGAAGUUAUGUUACCUCUCCUGUGUCAUGUUCUCUAGAAAAUGCUUGGGCUGUUACUUGGAUUGCUCUCAGGAGAAUUGAUUCUCCUAUACAAGUUCUAAUCAAAUUGAGAAUUUAUUAUAGAUAGAGACUGCAGUUUUGAUCUCAAGCAUGUUUGCAAUCAGUUGUGUAUCUGUUCUGUCAUCAUAGCUAGCCACAAUAAUAGAUGAUGUUUCAGGGGCCUUGAACUUUUUCCUGAAUGUAACAUUUAGGUGGAGAAUAACAUGGAUCAGGGUUAAUUUAUGGGUCUCUAUUAUUUGUGACACCCUUGCUAACUUUAUGUAUUUAUUCACCACCUUAUUUUGAUUAUCUAAUGGACACUCAUGGCGAGUGCUUCUCUGUUUAUUUCCUGCAUCAUUUUUUUUUUAUAUUUUAUCUAUGUGAAGUUUCAGUGAUUCAGCAACGAGAAUCAAACUUCCCAUGGUAAAAAACUAUCUUCGAGUAAACUUUCAUUUCAAUUAUUCUUGCAAAGUGCAAUACUGAUGCAUUCCACAUGCAUCAGCUGCCACUGAAGACAUCAUUUUGCAGAUCCCAAUAAAUGGCAGAAAAUCAGGUCACUUAUUAUCAACACACAAUAUAUCUGUAUUUAGAUCUUGUGACCAGCUGGAACGAACAGCGACAGUUCACAGCAUAUGCAGAAGCCCCCAAACAGUGGCACAAAAGCCAUCUGCAAGCUGUCCUGAACCACUAGUGGCAUCUGGCUGUGGCUCCAAGUGCAUCCCCAUUACCAAGCUGUCCUGCAACUUGUCCUACAUUUCAUGUCUUCUCUUAGGAUUAAUUGUAUAUAUAUUCAUUCAUGAGAAUGAAUGUCAACCACCAGUUGAAAUUGAUUGAAAGUUGGCCUCCUCGUGUGCAUGUCUCCCCUGGGGCUCCUGUGUUUGCCCACAUUGGUGUCCUUUUCCAUCAUCCACAUGCACUGCUGCUUUUGUUUCUCAUUCUAUCUUUUGUGGGCCUCUGCACCAUUCUCAUUUUCAUUAUCUUAUGCUAAUGUUUCUUUAUCUAAAUGAAUGUUUAAUUCUAAUAAUUUGUUGUUUAGCUGCUGUUUUGUUUGUAGAUUGUGAUUGUGAGAUCAGAGAUUGCAGGUUUCUGCAUUGAACUGCAGAAACUGUUUUUUUGGAUGUUGUUUCACUGAAAAUUAGAUGUCAAUUAUGAUCACGUUCAGUGUCACCAGUUGCUAUGAUUUGGACUAGUGUAUCACUUUGAGCAGGUUGAUGUGACCAUUGAAUACACAAACGAGCAUCUUUUGUGACAAUGAGAAGUUGGUUUUUAAUUAUUUAUGUUUCCUGGUGAUGAGUCAUCUUAGUCACAUGCUUAUAAAGAUUC